GAGGGUACAGGUCAGUGGUAGAAGGCAUGCCUAGCAUGCACAAGGUCCUGGGUUCAAUCCCCAGUACCUUCA
rnacentral:tRNA from 1 species